rnacentral:rRNA from 1 species
UACGAGAGGCCCAAACGUUAUUCGGAUUUACUGGGCUUAAAGAGUUCGUAGGCUGCACAGAAAGUAGGGUGUGAAAGCCCUCGGCUCAACCGAGGAAUUGCGCUCUAAACUGCUGUGCUUGAGGAACCUAGAGGUAAGCGGAACUUCGGGUGGAGCGGUGAAAUGCGUUGAUAUCCGAAGGAACACCGGUGGCGAAAGCGGCUUACUGGGUAUUUUCUGACGCUGAUGCACGAAAGCUAGGGGAGCAAACGGG